ACUGCUGAAAAGGUUCAUGGUUAAGAUAAUGUUCUUCAAAGACAGACUUAACUCCCUUCUUCUUACUUGGUUUGGCCAAUCCGGUGCACUCUGCCUAUGGCUUGGAGCUCAUGAGCAGGGUUGAGGAUUGGCUCUACCAGCAACACGUGAGUCGCUUCGAUGAUGUUCAACCCGUUGGAGCCCGUGUGUAGAGGAAGGAGGAGGAUGUUGAUCUUUUCUUCGUAUUUGAAAGCGCUCAGAUUCUCCUGGAAAAUCGAAAUCAACGCACUAGUUUCCACGUAGCAAUCUAAAAAAGCAGUGGCCGCAGGUCAGCACCGCCCACUGGAGAAGAGAGAGCGAGAGGACACGAUGACUACAAAAGAUGACACAAGCAGUUUGGGCUUUGGUUCGUCAGGCAGACGGACACGUAGUCUCUCUGUGGCCAUACCCAGCUCAUCAAUGGCCGACACGUGAUUCCUCAGCACCAUCCAGUACUCGUGCAGCACCUGAGAAGGGACAGAGGCGGCUUUCUUAAUAAAAGAAACAAACUGGA